rnacentral:rRNA from 1 species
UACGUAGGGACCAAGCGUUGUUCGGAUUUACUGGGCGUAAAGGGCGCGUAGGCGGCGAAUCAAGUCAGCUGUGAAAUCUCCGAGCUUAACUCAGAACGGUCAGCUGAUACUGUUUUGCUAGAGUGCAGAAAGGGCAACCGGAAUUCUUGGUGUAGCGGUGAAAUGCGUAGAUAUCAAGAGGAACACCUGAGGCGAAGGCGGGUUGCUAGGCUGACACUGACGCUGAAGCGCGAAAGCUAGGGUAGCAAACGGG